rnacentral:tRNA from 1 species
AGGGAGCUAGUCCAAAGCAAGACCUCUGAUUUCGGCUCAGAAAACCGUGGCUCGUAUCCACGGCUCCCAU